rnacentral:rRNA from 1 species
CGGUAAAAGCUCAAAUUUGAAAUCUGGCUCUUUUAGAGUCCGAAUUGUAAUUUGUAGAGGAUGCUUUUGGUGACGCGCUUACCGAGUCCCCUGGAACGGGGCGCCAUAGAGGGUGAGAGCCCCGUAUGGUUUGACGCCGAGCCUUUGUAAAGCUCCUUCGAC